GCAUAACGCGAAGAACCUUACCAAGGCUUGACAUACACCAGAACACCCUAGAAAUAGGGGACUCUUUGGACACUGGUGAACAGGUGGUGCAUGGUUGUCGUCAGCUCGUGUCGUGAGAUGUUGGGUUAAGUCCCGCAACGAGCGCAACCCUCGUUCUAUGUUGCCAGCACGUAAUGGUGGGAACUCAUGGGAUACUGCCGGGGUCAACUCGGAGGAAGGUGGGGAUGACGUCAAAUCAUCAUGCCCCUUAUGUCUUGGGCUUCACGCAUGCUACAAUGGCCGGUACAAAGGGCUGCAAUACCGUGAGGUGGAGCGAAUCCCAAAAAGCCGGUCCCAGUUCGGAUUGAGGUCUGCAACUCGACCUCAUGAAGUCGGAGUCGCUAGUAAUCGCAGAUCAGCAACGCUGCGGUGAAUACGUUCCCGGGUCUUGUACACACCG
rnacentral:rRNA from 1 species